UCCAAGCUCAUGCUUAGUCCAGCAGUUUC
rnacentral:piRNA from 1 species